GACGUUGCACGUUACCACGCCG
rnacentral:miRNA from 1 species